UCCCUGGUGGCUCAGAUGGUAAAGUGUCUGUCUGCAAUGUAGGAGACCCGGGUUCGAUCCCUGGGUCGGGAA
rnacentral:tRNA from 1 species